AAAUUUCUUGUUCGCCGCGCAUUUGUGAAAUUUGCCGCGCAGCGCGAGAAAUUAUUGCGCAAUAUCAGCACAUGUGCGCUGCAGCGCUGUUGUUUCCGUUGAAAAAAAUUGUUGCCUGUUGAAUGUCAAUCUUACAAGCUGUUUUGACAGGCAAGUUCCGUUAAUUGGUUGGUAAGCCAAUAAGCGUUUGAUGACUAGAAAUAUGAUAUCUGAGCAGAUUAACUACACAUUCUUUGCUUUCGUUUUCGAGCUUUCUCUUUUUAAGUGACUUCAAGGCAAACCAUAUCGAUUCUUCGGUGUAUUCUACGGUGAUACGUGAUAUUUAAUUAAACCAACUUGGGGUGUUCAAAUUUGUAAGAUGGCUGAGAUUCAAGCAGUUAAAUCAGUUUGCGUUUCAUGCAAGAAGGAAUGUGGAAGCC